UGCCUAAACUCGAAAAUUUUUUAAUUUCCGAGCAUGGCAAGAAAAUUCUGUUCAGGUAUAUUAAGCUCUCCAUCCAGAGUACCUGAACAGUCAUACGUCGAAAGGCGUGUGGGUGGCGCAAGCCAUC
rnacentral:sRNA from 1 species